rnacentral:rRNA from 1 species
UGCGCAGGCGGUUAUAUAAGACAGAUGUGAAAUCCCCGGGCUCAACCUGGGAACUGCCUCCAAAACUACUGAGCUAGAGUACGGUAGAGGGUAGUGGAAUUUCCUGUGUAGCGGUGAAAUGCGUAGAUAUAGGAAGGAACACCAGUGGCGAAGGCGACCACCUGGACUGAUACUGACACUGAGGUGCGAAAGCGUGGGGAGCAAACA